rnacentral:rRNA from 1 species
AGUGAACGCUGGCGGUAGGCCUAACACAUGCAAGUCGAACGGCAGCACAGUAAGAGCUUGCUCUUACGGGUGGCGAGUGGCGGACGGGUGAGGAAUACAUCGGAAUCUACUUUUUCGUGGGGGAUAACGUAGGGAAACUUACGCUAAUACCGCAUACGACCUACGGGUGAAAGCAGGGGAUCUUCGCACCUUGCGCGAUUGAAUGAGACGAUGUCGGAUUAGCUAGUUGGCGGGGUAAAGGCCCACCAAGGCGACGAUCCGUAGCUGGUCUGAGAGGAUGAUCAGCCACACUGGAACUGAGACACGGUCCAGACUCCUACGGGAGGCAGCAGUGGGGAAUAUUGGACAAUGGGCGCAAGCCUGAUCCAGCCAUACCGCGUGGGUGAAGAAGGCCUUCGGGUUGUAAAGCCCUUUUGUUGGGAAAGAAAAGCAGCAGGUUAAUACCCCGCUGUUCUGACGGUACCCAAAGAAUAAGCACCGGCUAACUUCGUG